rnacentral:rRNA from 1 species
AUCUUUAUUGAUUUAAUAUAAAGUGUAGCCUGCUCAAUGAAUAUUAAAUAGCCGCGGUAUUUAUCGUGCUAAGGUAGCAUAAUAAUUUGUCUUUUAAUUAAGGUCUAGAAUGAAUGGUUGAACGGAAACUAACUUUUUUAAUUAAUUAUGUUUGAAUUUUAUUUUUUAGUAAAAAAGCUAGAAUUUAAUUAUUAGACGAUAAGACCCUAUAGAAUUUUAUACUUAAUUUUAUAUAUUAAUUUUAUUCAAUGUAAAAAAUUAGGUAUUUGGUUGGGGUGACUGUUAUAUAUAAGUAACUGUAAUUUAGGUUUGUCAUUAAUUAUUGAUUAAUUGAUCCUUAAAUUAGGAUUAAAAGAAUAAAUUACCUUAGGGAUAACAGCGUAAUUUUCUUGGGGAGUUSUUAUUUAUAAGAAAGUUUGCGA